rnacentral:lncRNA from 1 species
GCCACACAACUUGUCACCUAAUUCCCUGAGCCCUCUGGAUCGUCCGCUGCCAUAUGUGCCAUACGGAUGUUGUGAAUACAAAAGCCACCCCAUCCUCUCCCAUCUGGAAUCACUUCUGCCUAACCACUUCGCCCAGGAGGCUGAAAGAGUCUUUUUUUUUUUUUUUUUUUUUCUAAGGAGGUGAAAGAAGCAGGCAGCAAACUACUUAGUGUAGUUAUUUGGCGGUUGUCUGCAGCAGUCACAAGACAGCAACAAAACUCGUGCCUUCUCCAGUCCUUGCUACUAGCCAACAAGCAAGAGUCUCUUUACCAAAUGUUUCCCGGUUUCCCUGUUUGGGAGAUGGCUGACGUACAACUGAUGACACAUUUUGUGAGCUCUUUGGGGGAUUUAUAUCAAGAAAUUAACAAAGGAAUGUUGUAGUCUGCCAACAAUGUAAUUAAGGAAUCAAGCCUCAUCUAAGCUUUCUCAUGCCAAAGAGCUUGUUGGAUGUAAGUUGGAAAAACGUUCAAAUUCAAAACUUCAAAGAAAAGAUGGAGAGAUAUUGUGAAAAAGCAUUUGAAUAUUCAACUAUUCACUUUCUCCAGUUUCCUUAACACGCUCAGAAUACUGAAAACACGAAUGAUGAAAUAACGCAGCUACUUUGGGAGGACUGAGGAAAAAAAAAAAUGAUGAGGUAGGGCUGGUUACACUCAAGACGUGGUUAACGGCUUUGAAAGACAAGUAGACUUGAUAGGGGACCUGGAACUUAUGCCAAAUCAACUGCAAAUGUUUGUCCCAUACUAUUGAAAUGUGCUAAAAGAACGGUCAAAACAAACCAGUUGUUCUUGUUUGGCUUGUACACUUGAGUGUCCUGACAAUAAUUUGGAGGUUCU